rnacentral:misc_RNA from 1 species
GUGAAUCAUCAAAUUUUUGAACGCAAAUUGCACUCUCUGGUAUUCCGGAGAGUAUGCCUGUUUGAGGGUCAGUUUAAAUAAAAUUCGGUGUGGUUGCUGCCUUUCGUGGUGACGCACCGGAUUUGGUUCGUUUAGCCUUCGGUUAAGUGCUUUAAAAUUUUGCUUGUUUUUUUUCGAACGUAUUUAUAUGAUUUUACGUACGUUUGUGAUAUCGAAUACUAGGUGUGGUCAUCCUCAUGAUUCGCGCCUAUAAUUUUUCAUCAAAAUGCCUCAAAGUAAGUAAAGAGUCCCCCCUGAACUU